rnacentral:rRNA from 1 species
UGGCAAUUCGAGCUUUAAACUCCCAACCCCUGUGACAUACCAAUUGUUGCCUCGGCGGAUCAGCCCGCUCCCGGUAAAACGGGACGGCCCGCCAGAGGACCCCUAAACUCUGUUUCUAUAUGUAACUUCUGAGUAAAACCAUAAAUAAAUCAAAACUUUCAACAACGGAUCUCUUGGUUCUGGCAUCGAUGAAGAACGCAGCAAAAUGCGAUAAGUAAUGUGAAUUGCAGAAUUCAGUGAAUCAUCGAAUCUUUGAACGCACAUUGCGCCCGCCAGUAUUCUGGCGGGCAUGCCUGUUCGAGCGUCAUUUCAACCCUCAAGCCCCCGGGUUUGGUGUUGGGGAUCGGCGAGCCCUUGCGGCAAGCCGGCCCCGAAAUCUAGUGGCGGUCUCGCUGCAGCUUCCAUUGCGUAGUAGUAAAACCCUCGCAACUGGUACGCGGCGCGGCCAAGCCGUUAAACCCCCAACUUCUGAAUGUUGACCUCGGAUCAGGUAGGAAUACCCGCUGAACUUAAGCAUAUCAAAAGGCCGGAGGAAA